UUUUAUUGGAUUCGAGUUCAAAGCUUUUCUGCAGAGCACACUAUGGAAAUUUUGCUUGCUUUGAUUUCAACAUUCACUGUCUCAAUUUUUGUAUUUGGCACUGCUCUUUUGUAAUGAUACAGUUUCGGUUAACCGAAAUCUUACCGAUUGCUAUUUUUCACUUAUCCAAUUGUAUGUUGCAAAUCGAUUAAUUGCAUAUUGCAGUGUGUGAUGAUAUGACGUACUUCUUAUAUCCUCUUUCUGGAUUCAUUUCAUUCAUGCCAAGCUCAGUGAUUCUUUAUUUCCUUAACUUGUACUACCUCACUCCCAUUUUUAUGUUAGAUGCUCAUUUUAUCUCAAUUGCUAUCACCCUAAUUGUUAUCAAUUUUAAAUCUCUCCUCCGUAUGAUUGACCCGUGAUUCCUUGGUCUUGUAUCUCAGUCAGCUGGUAGGCACACAAGCAUACAAAAACUUAUUUGGAUAAGGUGAAGUGAAGGAAUCCCACAUUGUCUCCUGCCCCUUCCCUCGAGGCUCUGAUUGGAAGCAAGAAUGGGUCUUCUCAGCAUAAUCCGGAAAAUUAAGCGCAAGGAAAAGGAGAUGCGGAUUCUCAUGGUUGGUCUUGAUAAUUCUGGAAAGACUACAAUAGUGAUGAAGAUUAAUGGCGAAGAUACUAGUGUAAUCAGCCCCACACUUGGGUUCAACAUCAAAACCAUGGUUUACCAAAAGUACACUUUGAACAUAUGGGAUGUGGGGGGGCAGAGAACCAUAAGGUCUUAUUGGAGAAACUAUUUCGAGCAAACUGAUGGGUUGGUCUGGGUGGUGGAUAGUUCGGAUCUGAGGAGGCUCGAUGAUUGCAAAUACGAGUUGGAUAAUAUUCUCAAAGAAGAGCGAUUAUCAGGAGCGUCGUUGUUGAUAUUUGCAAAUAAACAGGAUAUACAAGGUUCGCUGUCACCUGAUGAGAUAGCUAAAGUAAGGAAUUUGCAUCUGUUUGAAUUUUAAUCCAUUUGUCUUAAUUUUGAUGCUUUUUCAACCGAACCGAGUAUGUCUGCUUUUGGCACGAAAGGGGGCAUGGAUCUGAUAAUAUUUGUGGAAGAAUUCUUCUUACUUCUACUCCCUUAAGCAGUAAGUUUAAAGUGCUGGAAAAUUAAGGAGUGUUUUAUUUUCCUCAACACAGAUAUUCACAUUAGAUGUGAUUAUAUUUUGCAGGAUGAUCUUUUAUUCAGUGCUUUUUCCAUUAAAUGGUCUAUGCACAGUCAUUUUAGUCUGGUACAAGUAAUAGAUUUCAUUGCUUCAUUAAGGUUCUAAACUUAGACGCCAUGGAUAAAAACCGGCACUGGAAAAUUGUGGGAUGUAGUGCAUUUACCGGGGAAGGGCUGCUCGAAGGGUUUGAUUGGAUGGUUCAAGACAUAGCCUCGAGAAUUUACAUGCUUGAUUAAAGGC